GACGAACGCUGGCGGCGUGCCUAAUACAUGCAAGUUGAGCGCUGAAGGUUGGUACUUGUACCGACUGGAUGAGCAGCGAACGGGUAAGUAACGCGUGGGGAAUCUGCCUUUGAGCGGGGGACAACAUUUGGAAACGAAUGCUAAUACCGCAUAAAAACUUUAAACACAAGUUUUAAGUUUGAAAGAUGCAAUUGCAUCACUCAAAGAUGAUCCCGCGUUGUAUUAGCUAGUUGGUGAGGUAAAGGCUCACCAAGGCGAUGAUACAUAGCCGACCUGAGAGGGUGAUCGGCCACAUUGGGACUGAGACACGGCCCAAACUCCUACGGGAGGCAGCAGUAGGGAAUCUUCGGCAAUGGACGAAAGUCUGACCGAGCAACGCCGCGUGAGUGAAGAAGGUUUUCGGAUCGUAAAACUCUGUUGGUAGAGAAGAACGUUGGUGAGAGUGGAAAGCUCAUCAAGUGACGGUAACUACCCAGAAAGGGACGGCUAACUACGUG
rnacentral:rRNA from 1 species